GCACUGCUGAUGAGACCCAAACUAGUCGAAACAGCUGUCUAGUGC
rnacentral:hammerhead_ribozyme from 1 species